rnacentral:rRNA from 1 species
AGCAUAUCAAUAAGCGGAGGAAAAGAAACCAACAGGGAUUGCCUCAGUAACGGCGAGUGAAGCGGCAACAGCUCAAAUUUGAAAUCUGGCCCUAGGCCCGAGUUGUAAUUUGCAGAGGAUGCUUUUGGUGCGGUGCCUUCCAAGUUCCCUAGAACGGGACGCCAGAGAGGGUGAGAGCCCCGUACAGUUGGACACCAAGCCUUUGUAAAGCUCCUUCGACGAGUCGAGUAGUUUGGGAAUGCUGCUCAAAAUGGGAGGUAUAUUUCUUCUAAAGCUAAAUACCGGCCAGAGACCGAUAGCGCACAAGUAGAGUGAUCGAAAGAUGAAAAGCACUUUGAAAAGAGGGUUAAACAGCACGUGAAAUUGUUAAAAGGGAAGCGCUUGUGACCAGACUUGCGUCCGGUGAAUCACCCAGCUCUCGCGGCUGGGGCACUUCGCCGGCUCAGGCCAGCAUCAGCUCGCUGUCGGGGACAAAAGCUUCAGGAACGUAGCUCUCUUCGGGGAGUGUUAUAGCCUGUUGCACAAUACCCUUCGGCGGGCUGAGGUACGCGCUCCGCAAGGAUGCUGGCAUAAUGGUCAUCAGCGACCCGUCUUGAAACACGGACCAAGGAGUCAACCUUAUGUGCGAGUGUUCGGGUGUCAAACCCCUACGCGUAAUGAAAGUGAACGCAGGUGAGAGCUUCGGCGCAUCAUCGACCGAUCCUGAUGUUCUCGGAUGGAUUUGAGUAAGAGCAUAUAGGGUUGGACCCGAAAGAAGGUGAACUAUGCGUGUAUAGGGUGAAGCCAGAGGAAACUCUGGUGGAGGCUCGCAGCGGUUCUGACGUGCAAAUCGAUCGUCAAAUAUGCGCAUGGGGGCGAAAGACUAAUCGAACCUUCUAGUAGCUGGUUUCCGC